AGGACGAACGCUGGCGGCGUGCUUAACACAUGCAAGUCGAGCGGAAAGGCCCUUCGGGGUACUCGAGCGGCGAACGGGUGAGUAACACGUGAGUAACCUGCCCCUAGCUCUGGGAUAGCUCCGGGAAACCGGGAUUAAAUACCAGAUACGACCACUUUAGACAUCUGUCGUGGUGGAAAGGAUUCCGGCUAGGGAUGGGCUCGCGGCCUAUCAGCUUGUUGGUGGGGUAAAGCCCACCAAGGCGACGACGGGUA
rnacentral:rRNA from 1 species